AGAUUUAUUUGACUUUAUGAUAACUGGGAUUUAAAUAUUCACCAAGCUCCUCCCUCACCUCUCAAGACAAAGGUUAAUCACCGAUGUGUUGCAGUCCUUGGAAAGCAUUGCUGUCAUCUGAAGAGUUCUGUCGUGGAAGCUGAUGGCGUUUGUCUCACAUGAGGUGGAAGAUGCUACUGAGAAGCACUAUCUAAUGAUCCUAAAUGUUUCAAGAAUUUUGCUUUCUUUCUUCUUUAAGAAACUGUUUCUAAGUUCUUCAGAUUUUCAAAUUCUAAGAAGUACAUUUUCCUUCCUCCGGGUCACAAAUCUGCAUACUAAGUGUGGCUGACAGAAUAGCAGUCUCCUGAAGACAUUCC